GGUGAAAAUGAUGAAUUCUGGGGCACUGAUUCAUAUGACUUGAAAAAUGCCAUCCAUUUCCUGAUUCACC
ensembl:snoRNA SNORD123 small nucleolar RNA, C/D box 123